UUUCCGAAAGCUUGAUCGGAGUGCCGAUUGCCGGUGUAGCCGGUGGCGUCGACCAAUCAGCGUCGCCCCCGGUCGAGCAAGUGGGGGUCAGCCGAGACUUAAGCGAGGCCACUCGCCGUGGAGCUGUCAGAGCUCUGUGGGGCACGGUCACGCACACAGCAGCCGGUCUUUUUCGGGGCUUUCUCAAUAUAUUUUUUUUCCCCUCUCUCUAUUUUGCGUUCUGUUUCACACAGUUUCGUACGUUUCACGUUUCGCGGCAGUCCGCAGCUUACUGUCGGUAUCGUCGAAAUCGUUCGUCUCUCACUGUGCACGCUUACGCCUGACUUCGUCUAUAUUUGAUCGUGCUCGUGGAUUCUUCAGCUCGUGGAGUGCAUCCGGAGUCGACGAGCCUUUGGCGUUGUUUUCACCGCCGUUUAUCCAGCAGACAGUUAAUUGAUGCACGAGAGAAACUCGCAAGAAACGGAAGACUUCGGUUCAUCUCUUUGUCUCCGCACCAGCACUCGUGACACUGUUAAUAUCAUUCGCGUUGACAUCAUGGCAUCUGGAUUGGACCCCACAGGACUUUACUGAAUACCACGGUGAAACCAGAAGAGCUGGAAACAACCUCUCCCCACUCUACAGGCAGAGCAACCGGAGAGAUAGCCGAUCGAAAUACCCGCGUCCCGUGGCCAGUUUCCGUCGAGUCGAUUAUUUAUACGUACAAGUUGAAUCGAGACGCAUCCUGCAAAAUGGCUGGACUCGAUCCGACCGGUCAGUACUGAAGGGAAGUGGAGGUAGGUCGAGGAGGAGGAUUCCGGAAGAGACGAGGAAGUAAUCGAGAGAGUCGAGGUACCUCAAGGUCGCGACAUGGCUGCCAGCACAGGCCUCGAUCCCACCGGCCAGUAUUGAAGACUCUCUUUCUCUCUCUCUUUCUCUCUCUCUCUCUCUCUUUUUUCUUUCUCUUUCUCUUCAGUCUCCUAAUUAUCGAAAAGAGGGGACCGGCAGACGGUGUCGAAGACGUGAAACGACGUGAAAUCGAA